rnacentral:rRNA from 1 species
GACGAACGCUGGCGGCGUGCUUAACACAUGCAAGUCGAACGGUGAAAGCGGAGCUUGCUCCGCUGGAUCAGUGGCGAACGGGUGAGUAACACGUGGGCAACCUGCCCCUCACUUCGGGAUAACUCCGGGAAACCGGGGCUAAUACCGGAUAUGACCUCCUUGGGCAUCCUUGGAGGUGGAAAGUUUUUCGGUGAGGGAUGGGCCCGCGGCCUAUCAGCUUGUUGGUGAGGUAGUGGCUCACCAAGGCGACGACGGGUAGCCGGCCUGAGAGGGCGACCGGCCACACUGGGACUGAGACACGGCCCAGACUCCUACGGGAGGCAGCAGUGGGGAAUAUUGCGCAAUGGGCGAAAGCCUGACGCAGCAACGCCGCGUGCGGGAUGACGGCCUUCGGGUUGUAAACCGCUUUCAGCAGGGAAGAAGCCGCAAGGUGACGGUACCUGCAGAAGAAGCACCGGCUAACUACGUGCCAGCCGCCGCUUAA